GAAAUGCGAUAAGUAAUGUGAAUUGCAGAAUUCAGUGAAUCAUCGAAUCUUUGAACGCACAUUGCGCCCGCCAGUAUUCUGGCGGGCAUGCCUGUUCGAGCGUCAUUUCCACCAUCAGGCCCCCGGGCCUGUGUUGGGGACCUGCGGCUGCCCGCAGGCCCCGAAAUUCAGUGGCGGUCGCGCCGUAGCAAUCGAGCGUAGUAACUAAAACGUCUCGCUCUGGCUCGCUGGGCGCGCUCCGGCCGUAAAACACCCCCCCUUUUCGCAAAGGUUGACCUCGGAUCAGGUAGGAAUACCCGCUGAACUUAAGC
rnacentral:misc_RNA from 1 species